AGAGUUUGAUCCUGGCUCAGAUUGAACGCUGGCGGCAGGCCUAACACAUGCAAGUCGAACGGUAACAUUUCUAGCUUGCUAGAAGAUGACGAGUGGCGGACGGGUGAGUAAUGCUUGGGAACUUGCCUUUGCGAGGGGGAUAACAGUUGGAAACGGCUGCUAAUACCGCAUAAUGUCUUCGGACCAAACGGGGCUUCGGCUCCGGCGCAAAGAGAGGCCCAAGUGAGAUUAGCUAGUUGGUAAGGUAACGGCUUACCAAGGCGACGAUCUCUAGCUGUUCUGAGAGGAAGAUCAGCCACACUGGGACUGAGACACGGCCCAGACUCCUACGGGAGGCAGCAGUGGGGAAUAUUGCACAAUGGGGGAAACCCUGAUGCAGCCAUGCCGCGUGUGUGAAGAAGGCCUUCGGGUUGUAAAGCACUUUCAGUUGUGAGGAAAAGUUAGUAGUUAAUACCUGCUAGCCGUGACGUUAACAACAGAAGAAGCACCGGCUAACUCCGUGCCAGCAGCCGCGGUAAUACGGAGGGUGCGAGCGUUAAUCGGAAUUACUGGGCGUAAAGCGCACGCAGGCGGUUUGUUAAGCUAGAUGUGAAAGCCCCGGGCUCAACCUGGGAUGGUCAUUUAGAACUGGCAGACUAGAGUCUUGGAGAGGGGAGUGGAAUUCCAGGUGUAGCGGUGAAAUGCGUAGAUAUCUGGAGGAACAUCAGUGGCGAAAGCGACUCCCUGGCCAAAGACUGACGCUCAUGUGCGAAAGUGUGGGUAGCGAACAGGAUUAGAUACCCUGGUAGUCCACGCCGUAAACGCUGUCUACUAGCUGUGUGUGCCUUUAAAGGCGUG
rnacentral:rRNA from 1 species